rnacentral:rRNA from 1 species
GCGAACGGGUGAGUAACACGUGGGCAAUCUGCCCUUCACUCUGGGACAAGCCCUGGAAACGGGGUCUAAUACCGGAUAACACCGGCUUCCGCAUGGAAGCUGGUUGAAAGCUCCGGCGGUGAAGGAUGAGCCCGCGGCCUAUCAGCUUGUUGGUGGGGUAAUGGCCCACCAAGGCGACGACGGGUAGCCGGCCUGAGAGGGCGACCGGCCACACUGGGACUGAGACACGGCCCAGACUCCUACGGGAGGCAGCAGUGGGGAAUAUUGCACAAUGGGCGAAAGCCUGAUGCAGCGACGCCGCGUGAGGGAUGACGGCCUUCGGGUUGUAAACCUCUUUCAGCAGGGAAGAAGCGAAAGUGACGGUACCUGCAGAAGAAGCGCCGGCUAACUACGUGCCAGCAGCCGCGGUAAUACGUAGGGCGCAAGCGUUGUCCGGAAUUAUUGGGCGUAAAGAGCUCGUAGGCGGCUUGUCACGUCGGGUGUGAAAGCCCGGGGCUUAACCCCGGGUCUGCAUCCGAUACGGGCAGGCUAGAGUGUGGUAGGGGAGAUCGGAAUUCCUGGUGUAGCGGUGAAAUGCGCAGAUAUCAGGAGGAACACCGGUGGCGAAGGCGGAUCUCUGGGCCAUUACUGACGCUGAGGAGCGAAAGCGUGGGGAGCGAACAGGAUUAGAUACCCUGGUAGUCCA